UCUCCUGUAGCUCAGUUGUAGAGCGUCCGACCGGUGGGCGGAAACGUCAUAGGUUCGACUCCUGUUGGAAGAA